rnacentral:rRNA from 1 species
GACGAACGCUGGCGGCGUGCCUAAUACAUGCAAGUCGAACGCUUCUUUCCUCCCGAGUGCUUGCACUCAAUUGGAAAGAGGAGUGGCGGACGGGUGAGUAACACGUGGGUAACCUACCCAUCAGAGGGGGAUAACACUUGGAAACAGGUGCUAAUACCGCAUAACAGUUUAUGCCGCAUGGCAUAAGAGUGAAAGGCGCUUUCGGGUGUCGCUGAUGGAUGGACCCGCGGUGCAUUAGCUAGUUGGUGAGGUAACGGCUCACCAAGGCCACGAUGCAUAGCCGACCUGAGCGGGUGAUCGGCCACACUGUGACUGAGACACGGCCCAGACUCCUACGGGAGGCAGCAGUAGGGAAUCUUCGGCAAUGGACGAAAGUCUGACCGAGCAACGCCGCGUGAGUGAAGAAGGUUUUCGGAUCGUAAAACUCUGUUGUUAGAGAAGAACAAGGACGUUAGUAACUGAACGUCCCCUGACGGUAUCUAACCAGAAAGCCACGGCUAACUACGUG